UACGGAGGGGGCUAGCGUUGUUCGGAAUGACUGGGCGUAAAGCGCGCGUAGGCGGGCUGGAAAGUCAGGGGUGAAAUCCCGGGGCUCAACCCUGGAAUGGCCUUUGAAACUCCCAGCCUUGAGUUCGAGAGAGGUGAGUGGAAUUCCGAGUGUAGAGGUGAAACUCGUAGAUAUUCGGAGGAACACCAGUGGCGAAGGCGGCUCACUGGCUCGACACUGACGCUGAGGUGCGAAAGCGUGGGGAGCAAACAGG
rnacentral:rRNA from 1 species